UACGGAGGAUCCGAGCGUUAUCCGGAUUUAUUGGGUUUAAAGGGAGCGUAGGCGGAUGUUUAAGUCAGUUGUGAAAGUUUAAGGCUCAACCUUGAAAUUGCAGUUGAUACUGGAUAUCUUGAGUACAUUGAAUGUGGCGGAAUUCGUGGUGUAGCGGUGAAAUGCUUAGAUAUCACGAAGAACUCCAAUUGCGAAGGCAGCUCACAGUAAUGUAACUGACGCUGAUGCUCGAAAGUGUGGGUAUCAAACAGGAUUAGAUACCCUGGUAGUCCACACAGUAAACGAUGAAUACUCGCUGUUUGCGAUAUACAGUAAGCGGCCAAGCGAAAGCGUUAAGUAUUCCACCUGGGGAGUACGCCGGCAACGGUGAA
rnacentral:rRNA from 1 species